rnacentral:rRNA from 1 species
UACGUAGGGGGCGAGCGUUGUCCGGAGUUACUGGGCGUAAAGGGCAUGCAGGCGGUCGGACGCGUUUCGGGUGACAGCGGGUGGCUUAACUACCCGAGUGGUCGAAAGACGGUUUGACUUGAGGACGCGAGAGGGACACGGAAUUCCGGGUGGAGUGGUGAAAUGCGUAGAGAUCCGGAGGAACACCGAAGGCGAAGGCAGUGUCCUGGCGCGUAACUGACGCUGAGGUGCGAAAGCGGGGAGCGGAACGGG